GCGCACCAGGCGCGAAACUUUACAAUGUGCGAAAGCACGAUAAGGGAACUCUGAGUGCCUCCUAAGGAGGCUGUUUAGGUGUCUAAAAGCACCUGAAGGAAGGGCCGGGUAAGACCGGUGCCAGCCGCCGCGGUAACACCGGCAGCCCAAGUGGUAGCCACGUUUAUUGGGUCUAAAGCGUCCGUAGCCGGCUGGGUAAGUUCCUUGGGAAAUUUGGCUGCUUAACAGUCAAGCUUUCAGGGAAUACUGCCCGGCUUGGGACCGGGAGAGGUCAGAGGUACUCCAGGGGUAGGGUGAAAUCCAUUAAUCCUUGGGGGACCACCGGUAGCGAAGGCGUCUGACCAGACCGGGUCCGACGGUGAGGGACGAAGGCUAGGGGCGCGAACCGGAUUAGAUA
rnacentral:rRNA from 1 species